GCAGUUUAGCCCUUCGCAGCGCGUCCCCAGACCGCUCUGGCCUGCCGUCUCGGACCGCACUGACCUGAUCACUUAACAUUCAGGUCUCACCUACCCUUCUGUUAACCCUGGGCCCUAGAAAACCUGGUACACACAGAAAUGUGUUCUAACUGUCUGCAUCAGGAAUUCAGUGACAACCGGCUUGUUGUGCUGUCCCUUUGGAGGCUGAGACCGGAGGAUUGCUGAGCAUUCAAGUCCAGCCUAGGCCGUUUGGGAAGACCAUGACUCAAAAAAUAAGCUGGUGAUGUAACCCUAGGGGUAGAAUGCUUGCCUAGCAUGCAAGAAGCCCUGGAUUCUACCCCCAACACUGCAUAAACCCUCCAUGGUCAUGCGCUUGGGAGGUAGAUGCAGGAGGAUCAAAUGUUCAAAGUCAUCUUCUGAUAUACAGCAAGUUCAAGACCUGGGCUACAUAGACCUUGCCUCCAAAACAAAGGGACCAGACAUCUUAUCAACCGAAUCCUCCUCCAGCCAGGAGAGCAUCCUUUCUCAUGUAUUUCUGCACCAUGCCCUGUCUCCUUUAAAGCCCAGAACCCCUCAGAAACACAGCUCCUUAAAGCCCAGCUUCUACCCAUGAGAACCUCAUCAGCGCCAACUGUCUACAGAAAGUGUCAAAGGCAUCCGUCUCUUGUAGCGGGGGUGGGGAAGUUGGGGGGCGUGGGCUUCAGUCUUGCUAUUCAGUCAAAGAUAACCUGGAACUCCUGACCCUCCAGCCUCCACCUCCCGGGAUUACAGCUUUCAUCACCUUGCCAAGAUGAUGCGGUGUUAGGGACUGGAACCCAGGGCUUCCUACACGCUUGGUUAAGUACUUGAGCAACUGCACCACAUACCCAGCUCUAUUUCAUUGUGUGAGUGUGUGUGUGUAUGUAAAUCAGGAAAUUAAACAGGAUUUGGUUCUCUCCUUUCAACACGUUGGGUUCUGGAGAUCAAAUUUAGAUCAAGGUUUGAUGGCAGGUGCCUUUAUUCGCUGACCCAUUUCACCAGACCCCUCCCCUUUUGGCUCCUGUCAGGAACCUUCCCGUUUUGGCUCCUGUCAGGGAGUGGAAGCUUAAAACUUUGCUUCCCAAUUGUUUCUCUAUCCGAAAGCCUGCUAGCACACGAUUGGUGCAUUUUCCUUUUGCGUGUAACACUUCAAUAACCAAAAGCCGGACACCCAUCUUGAAACACUCCUGCCUUUCCAAGUUGCUUUAAAAACGGGCAAGGAAAGUUUUCAUGAGACUUUCAGGAGUCUGGGUCUUGGUGUCCAGGAAAAGGAAAAGAGGAAAAAGAAGGUACUAAUUCCUGCGUAGUCUCUAGCCGUGCCUUUAGCCGGUGGCAGCACUGUACCAGCUCUGAGCCCAAUCCGGAUCAGAGCGCCGGAAUCCGGCAGAGAAAUCAGGCAGCGCCUAGCCCAGCCCGGCCUGGGGUCCUUAGCGCCGCAAGUGCGAGGGGCGGGGCCUAGUCUUCGAUUGGCCCAAACAUGGGGGCGUGGCCACAGCUCCGCCCCACCUUUCUCCCCCCCCCCACCCCCGCGCACACACAAGAUGAAAUAGGCUUCGCGCCCUGGUGCUCAAAAUUAUUCUCGGAGUAGGCGUGGUCUAGGUUUGUUUACACGCUGCCAUUGGCUGGAUUUGAAUCGGGCCGAGCGGGUGCG